rnacentral:rRNA from 1 species
GAUGAACGCUGGCGGCGUGCCUAAUACAUGCAAGUCGAGCGAACAGACCAGGACCUUUCUCCUCUGACUUUAUCAGCGGACGGGUGAGUAACAUGUGGUUAACCUACCUCUAAGACUUGGAUAACUUCGCGAAACCGGAGCUAAUACCGAAUAAUUUAUUGAACCUCAUUGUUCACUAGUUAAAUACGGUAUUUCUGUCACUUAUAGAUGGCUCCGCACCGCAUCAGAUAGUUGUUAAGGUAACGGCUUACCAAGGCAACGAUGGGUAGCCGACCUGAGAGGGUGAUCGCCCACCCUGGAACUGAGACACGGUACAGACUCCUACAGGAGGAAGCAGUAGGGAAUCUUCCGCAAUGGGCGAAAGCGUGACGGAGCAACGCCGCGGGAGUGAUGAAGGUGUACGGAUCGUAAAACGCUGUUAUUAGGGAAGAACAAAUGUGUAAGUAACUAUGAAGAUCUUGACGGUACCUGAACAGAAAGCCACGGCUAACUACGUG